GACGAACGCUGGCGGCGUGCUUAACACAUGCAAGUCGAACGGAAAGGCCCUGCUUUUGUGGGGUGCUCGAGUGGCGAACGGGUGAGUAACACGUGAGUAACCUGCCCUUGACUUUGGGAUAACUUCAGGAAACUGGGGCUAAUACCGGAUAGGAGCUCCUGCUGCAUGGUGGGGGUUGGAAAGUUUCGGCGGUUGGGGAUGGACUCGCGGCUUAUCAGCUUGUUGGUGGGGUAGUGGCUUACCAAGGCUUUGACGGGUAGCCGGCCUGAGAGGGGGACCGGCCACAUGGGGACUGAGAUGAGACCCGGACUCCUACGGGAGGGAGCAGUGGAGAAUAGUGCACAAUGGGCGGAAGCCUGAUGCAGCAACGCCGCGUGCGGGAUGACGGCCAUCGGGUUGUAAACCGCUUUCGCCUUUGACGAAGCGUGAGUGACGGUAAUGGGUAAAGAAGCACCGGCUAACUACGUG
rnacentral:rRNA from 1 species